UUCUGGCUUCUCCUUGGCAGCCACAAUACCAAGAAGCUGAUCCUGAAGGCCCAAGGGGGUGAUCAUGAAGUUGAGGAGGCAGACUUUCACAGCCACUUCAGGAAGGGGUGCAGAGAGCUUAGAGGAAACUUAUUGGUCCCAGUGAAGAGAAGGACAGCAACCCUGAGAGGCUCAGGAAGGGACUCUGGUCCAUGUGGAAACCUCAGAAGAUUUAGAACCAACAUGGCUGCCUGGAUCCUCUCUGGUUGGUCUCUUUCAUUUACGGAUUCACUCAAAACUCAAAGGAGCGGCUGACUGCUCAGGAACAAGUAUGCCACCAGGUUCCAGACACUACCGUGAUGCCAACUGGACCUCCCUGGGUAGAUGACUCCACCAAUGUGUCCUGGAACCCCACUUCCCCAGAGCCCUGCUCCACUUGGGAAAUAGAGAGACUGGCUGGGAGUAUGGAUUGACGAGUCAACGCCCAUGUUCAGCAGGGAAGCAAUUACAGAAGCCAGACCUUCCACUUUCUGCAUUCCACAAUGACCCUGGGUCCAUACUCCCAGAGGGAUAAAGAAUAGGAAAGCUAUCAGGGGAGGGAUGGAAUAUAGAGAUCUGGUGGUGGGAAUUGUGUGGAGUUGUAUCCCUCUUAUCUUAUGGUUUUUG